rnacentral:lncRNA from 1 species
UGGUGGCUAAUAGUACAGAAACAAUUCAACGAUUUCCACAGAACAGCUCUAGUGGCCUGUACUGGGUAUACAGUGCCAGGGUUAUUAGCAGGACUGUAAGAGAAUUCCUCCAAAUUUUACAAAACUUUCAGUUUAAAGCUUUCUCUUAUUAUUUGACAAGAGCUCUUCAACUUCUCACUACAGGGCAGUGUUACAUCAUUUAUAGAGGCUGUUGCACCAAGUUUCAUUACCAUGGGAGAGGCAAUGCAAUUUUGGCCAAUUUUCCUUGUAUUUUUUUCCCUCAACAAAUAGCUACUCAUACACACCAUAUUUUAAUAGAAAGCCUCAGUCCUUGUCAUCAGAACCUUCUUAGAAGUUUCUAUUAGAGAUAUGCUUUUGGCCCACGUGAAGAUGAAGUGCUGAUUCCAAGCUCUAAGGUGUUUCAGAAUGUCACCCUUAAAAACAAUAAUAAUGUUAACUUUGAAAAAAUAAAGCCAGUAAUUUCUACUGCUUCUCAGUU